rnacentral:rRNA from 1 species
UACAGAGGGGGCAAGCGUUAUUCGGAAUUAUUGGGCGUAAAGGGCGCGUAGGCGGUCCGCCAAGUCAGGGGUGAAAUCCUGCAGCUUAACUGUAGAAGUGCCUCUGAUACUGGCGGUCUUGAGGGAAAUAGGGGUGUGCGGAACUUCCAGUGGAGCGGUGAAAUGCGUUGAUAUUGGAAGGAACGCCGGAGGCGAAAGCGGCGCACUGGAUUUCUUCUGACGCUGAGGCGCGAAAGCUAGGGGAGCAAACGGG